rnacentral:rRNA from 1 species
AACGUAGGGGGCAAGCGUUGCCCGGAUUCACUGGGCGUAAAGCGGGUGUAGGCGGUCCUUUAAGUCAGGUGUGAAAUCCUGCGGCUCAACCGCGGAACUGCAUCUGAUACUGGGGGACUUGAGGACGGUAGAGGUCGGUGGAAUCCCCUGUGUACCGGUGAAAUGGGCAGAUAUAGGGGGGAACACCAGUGGCGAAGGCGACUACCUGGCCUGUUCUUGACGCUGAGGCGCGAAAGCUAGGGGAGCAAACGGG